rnacentral:rRNA from 1 species
UGGGGAAUAUUGGACAAUGGGCGAAAGCCUGAUCCAGCGACGCCGCGUGUCGGAAGGAGUCCUUCGGGAUGUAAACGACUUUUGGUGGAGACGAAUAAGCAGCUCAGGGAAUGGGGCUGUGAUGACGGUAUCCAUGGAAUAAGCCCCGGCUAACUACGUGCCAGCAGCCGCGGUAAGACGUAGGGGGCAAGCGUUACCCGGAAUUACUGGGCGUAAAGGGAGCGUAGGCGGGAGGUCAAGUCCGGUGUGAAAGACCCUGGCUCAAC